GCAGACCGUGGGUGCAUCUCCACGGUGACUUGGCAGCGCCCAGCGAUGUAUUGCCCGGAAUGCCGCGCCCAUCAAGGAGAUGCGUCGGUGACGCGGUCGGGGAGCCGCGAUAGGAAGAAAGGAAGUAGGACCUGCCACCUACAAAACCUCAGCUUAACUGAAUAAGAGGAUAACUCUGGCACCAGUCUGCAAUGUUUAUUGAAGAUGAAAAACUGGAAUGCUGAAGAAAUUUAGAGAAAGUUAAUGCCUGGGUGCAAAAGGAUGAUGGCCCCAAAUAAGGACCUGCUCUUCUCCUGGUACCUGCUGGAUUAAAUUCCUGAAGUGUUUCCCAAAUGCUGCCUUUUCGGCAGAGCAACAGAAAGAGAAUCUUCCAUCUACUGAUUCACUCCCCAAAUUGCCACAACUGCUGAAACUGGGCCAGGCUAAAGCCAGAAGCCAGGAACUCCACCUGAGUCUCCCACAUGGUGACAAGAACUCAAAUACUUAAGCCAAUUAUCCACCACUUUAGCAGAAAACUGGUUUAGAAGUGGAAUAGCCUGGACUUAAAUUGGCACACUGAUAUGGGAUGUGAGCAUCCAAACAGUGGCUUUCCCAGCUGUGCCACAACACUUGAGUUAAUCUUUACAGAAGAACUACAAGCUAAGGAAGAGAUACUGGGGCCCUCUAAAACUCUAAGGUAUUAGGGAUACAGGCUCGUCUUUACUCCAAUGUGCUGAUUGGUAUUGAAGGGGUGAACAAUUGUUGACCAAUGAAUGAGGGACUAAGGGCGAAGCUGAUUGACAUCCUACCAUCCUACCUGCAGGAAAUCUAAGCUUAACCAAUCACAAAAGUGGAGUUGAGUGGCUGGUUGAAGGAUUCUGGGUCAAUUUAUUACUUUCUGCAGAGCACUUGGGCUAGACAAUCAUGCUGUUGUCGGAUUAACUUCUACUUAAUGUCUACUCAUCAUCCAGCUGGGAACUUAGUUUACCUGAUGUGAACAGUGAGGUACAACUUCACACCCAUUGGGAUGCCUAAUGUUGAAAACAAAUCAAGAAAGUAACAAGUCUUGGUCAAGUAUGUGGAGAAAUUGGAGUCCUUAUACAUUGCUGGUAGAAAUGUAAAAUGGUAUAGCUACUUGAAAACACGGUUUAGAAGUUCUUCAAAAGGUUAAGAAUAGAGUUAUCAUAUGAUCCAUCGAUUUUGUUUACAAAUGUAUAUUCAAACAAGGUGAAGGCAUAUGUUCACUAACACAUGCAAAAACUGGUUCAUAAAGGUGCAUAGCAUCAUUUAUUUAUUUCUUUAUUUGAAAAGCAGAGUUACAGAAGGGGAGAGAGAGAGAGAGAGCGCGCACUUUAUCUAACAUCCCCUGGUGCACUCCUCAAAUGGCUACAAUGGCCAGGGCUGGGCCAGGCCAAAGCAAGGAGCCAGGAGCUCCAUCUGGGCCUCUCACACGAGUGUCAGAGGCCCAAGCACUUGGACCAUCUUCCACUGCUUUCUCAGACACAAUAGCAGGAAGCUGGAUCAGAAGUCAAGUGACCAUUAUUGGAACUGACACCCAUAUAGACGGCUAGUGUUGCAGAUAGCCAUUUAUCCUGAUUUUCCACAAUGCCAGUUCCAGCAUCAUUACUUUUCAAAUUUUAUUUAUUUACUUUUAUUUAUUUGAAUGACAGAGUGACAGAGGUGGGGGGUGGUGGAGGAGGGAGAGAGAGAGAGAGAGAUCUUCCAUUCACUGGAUCAGAAUGGAGUAGCCAAGACUCAACCGGGCACUCUACUAAAGGAUCACAGCUUCCUAAGCAGCAGCAGCUUAAUCCACUGUGCCACACACUCACUCCAUCAUUAUUCAAAAUAGUCAAAAAGUGGAAAUAAUCAAAAUUUCCAUUAAAAGAUGAAUAAACAAAAUAUGGUAUACCCAUACAAAGAAGUAUUAUUCAGCUGUCAAAGGGAAUGAAAUAUUAACACAUGAUACAGCAUGGAUGAAUGUUGAAAACUCUGUGUUGAGGCUGGUGUUGUGGCAUAGCAGUAAAGCCUCUGCCUGUGAUGCCAGUAUCCCAUAUGGGCACCGGUUUGUGUCAUGGCUGCUCUGCUUCUGAUUCAGCUCCCUGUUAAUGGUCUGAGAAAAGCAACAGAAGAUAGCCCAAUGCCGGUUCGAGACCCAGCUGCUCCACUUCUGAUCCAGCUCUCUGCUAUGGCCUGGGAAAGCAGUGGAAGAUGGCCCAAGUCCUUAGGCCUCUGCACCCAUGUGGGAGACCUGGAAGAAGCUCCUGGCUCCUGACUUCUGAUCAGCACAGCUCUGGCCAUUGUGGCCAAUUGGGGAGUGAACCAUAGGAUGGAAGACCUCUCUCUCUGCCUCUCCUUUCUCUGUGUGAAACUCUUUCAAAUAAAUAAAUAAAUAAAUCUUAAAAAAAGAAGAUAGCCCAAGUGUUUGGGCCCCUGUCACCCACAUGGAAAAUCCAGAUGAAGCUCCUGGGUCCUGGCUUCAGUUUGGCCCAGCACUGUCCUUUUUUUUUUUUUUUUUUUUUUAUCUUUUAUUUAAUGAAUAUAAAUUUCCAAAGUGCGACUCAUGGGUUACAAUGGCUUUCCCCCCCAUACCGUCCCUCCCACCCACAACCCUCCCCUUUCCCACUCCCUCUCCCCUUCCAUUCACAUCAAGAUUCAUUUUUGAUUAUCUUAAUAUACAGAAGAUCAGCUUAGUAUACCUUAAGUAAGGAUUUCAACAGUUUGUUCCCACACAGAAACAUAAAGUGAAAAAUAGAUGAUUUUUUUUAAAAUCAUGAUGAAAUCAGAUCAGACCUAUUGUCAUGUUUAAUCCCAGUGAGAGUCAAGUUGGGAAUUGAUAAUUUCUUUUUUUUUUUUUUUUUUUUUUACAGAAGAUCAGUUUAGUGUACAUUAAGUAAAGAUUUCAGUCGUUUGCACCCCCAUAGAAACACAAAGUGAAAUAUACUGCUUGAGUACUCGUUAUAGCAUUAAGCCUCAGUGUACAGCACAUUAAGGACAGAGAUCCUACAUGAGGAGUAAGUGCACAGUGACUCCUGUUGUUGACUUUACAAAUUGACACUCCUGUUUAUGGCAUCAAUAAUCUCCCUAUGCACCAGUCAUGAGUUUCCAAGGCUAUGGAAGCCCCUUCAGUUCUCCGACUCUUAUCUUGUUUAGACAAGGUCAUAGUCAAAGUGGAGGUUCUCUCCUCCCUUCAGAGAAAGGCACCUCCCUCUUUGAAGACCUGUUCUUUCCACUGGGAUCUCACUCACAGAGAUCUUUUUGCCAGAGUGCCUUGGCUUUCCAUGCCUGAAAUACUCUCAUGGGCUUUUCAGCCAGAUCCGAGUGCCUUUAGGGCUGAUUCUGAGGCCAGAGCCAGCACUGUCCUUUGAGGCCAUCUGGAGAGUGAAGCAGGAGACAGAAGAUCUCUCUCUCUCUUUCUCUCUCUCUCUCCCUCUCUCUCUUCCUCUCUCUUUCUCUCUGCCUCUGCCUCUCUUUCUCUCUCAAAUCUGACUUUCAAAGUAAAAAAUCUUUUAAAAAAGAGAAAAAACUUUAAGUUAAUUGAAAGAAACUAGUCACACAAGAUCACAUAUUGUAUGACUCCAUUUGUGUGAAAUAUCCAGAACAGUUUAUCUAUAGAGACAGAAGUAAAUUAGUGCUUGCCAGAGGCAAGAGGGAUGAAGGACUAGUGAGUGAUUUUCGUGGGUGUGGAAUUUCUUUUGAGGCUGGUGAAAUGUUCUAAUCUUAUAUUGUGGUGACAGUUUACAACUCUGUGAAUAUUCUAAAAACUCUUAAGAUUUUUUUUGUGUAUGUGAAAUAUAUCUAUUUAAACUUGUUAUUAAAAAUAAAAUCAAUUUUUGUUUUCAAUGAUAUUUCCUGUAUAUUUCUAAUGACAGUAUUAUCAAAUGAUUUGUAUACUUUAAAUGAGUGAAUUGUAUGGCAUGCAAAUUACGUCUCUUUAAAGCUGUUACAAAAAGGAGAAGGAAGACAGAUCUUGUUUAAACAGUAGAUGGAGGGAAUGUAACUUUUUUCCUUUAUCAAACCUGUCAAAGCCUAAGAGAGGAAAUGAAAACCACAAAAUCUGUAGGAUCAGACACCAAGAGCAGGAACAAAUCCCUUAGCAGCUGGGCAGUAGUUAAAGAAGAAGGCCCUGCUUUUGAGAAAAGACUGCCCUUCUAGGGGCCAUGAAUA